rnacentral:rRNA from 1 species
GACGAACGCUGGCGGCGUGCUUAACACAUGCAAGUCGAACGAAGAGCGAUGGAAGCUUGCUUCUAUCAAUCUUAGUGGCGAACGGGUGAGUAACGCGUAAUCAACCUGCCCUUCAGAGGGGGACAACAGUUGGAAACGACUGCUAAUACCGCAUACGAUCUGACCUCGGCAUCGAGGAUAGAUGAAAGGUGGCCUCUAUUUAUAAGCUAUCACUGAAGGAGGGGAUUGCGUCUGAUUAGCUAGUUGGAGGGGUAACGGCCCACCAAGGCGAUGAUCAGUAGCCGGUCUGAGAGGAUGAACGGCCACAACGGGACUGAGACACGGCCCAGACUCCUACGGGAGGCAGCAGUGGGGAAUCUUCCGCAAUGGACGAAAGUCUGACGGAGCAACGCCGCGUGAGUGAUGACGGCCUUCGGGUUGUAAAGCUCUGUUAAUCGGGACGAAAGGCCUUCUUGCGAAUAGUUAGAAGGAUUGACGGUACCGGAAUAGAAAGCCACGGCUAACUACGUG